rnacentral:rRNA from 1 species
ACCACACCUAACCCUAUAUGGUGUCAGAUAUGGAAGUUAUCAUGUCCGACAAAAGUCAAUUUUUUUAUAUGGUGUACGUUACAUGGCACUCUCCCAUGUCGGGCAACACUUGCUAAUAGACACAUGAAGGUUUCGCGCUUGUGCCCUACUUGCUCUCAGGGUGUAGAAAGCACGGAACACAUGCCUUUUCUAUGUACUAAAGCAAAGGAGGUCUGGAAGAGACUAGGGAUGGAGGACAUUAUUGAUAGAGCUUGUGAGGUUGAUCGUGCUGGAGAGGCGAUAUUGGAAUACCUUUUACUUCUUCUAGAGCAAGAUUUGCAAAUUAUGGGGUACCAAAAUGUAUGAGAAAUGAUGGCUAUUUCAGCUUGGUAUCUACGGUGGGAGAGACGGAAAUUAGUGCACAAGGAAGUAACUCAGAAUGCAACUCAGAUAUCAAUGGGGAUCACAGCCCUUACAUACAGUUUUGUAAAUGCAUCAUCUUCAAAGGCGUCCAUAAAAAAGGGGGGUUGGCUUUGUCCUCCUAGGGGUUUCAUGAAACUCAAUGUUGAUGCCUCUUUUGACCAUGACAUGCUGAAGGGUACGAUGGGGGCAGUCUUGCGAGACGACAAAGGUAGGUUUAUUGCAGGAGGAAAUGGAAAGAUUGACCAUUGCGUGGAUGUUCUGAUGGCAGAAGCAUUAGCUCUCAAAUUUGGACUAACAUUAGCACAAAGGGUGGGGUGCAAUCGAUUAAUCAUCAACUCAGAUAAUCUGGAUGUAAUUGAGACCAUGCAGGACGGAGGACAAUCAACGGGUGUGGCGGCGCCAAUUUUCGAUGACUUCUUUCACUAUGCAUGUGAUUUUAUCAUGACUAUAUUCGAACACUGUAAUAGAGAGGAAAAUAAAUUAGCACAUGAACUUGCUAGAUUAGCCAGAUUUUCUUCAACUUUGGAUUGGUUUGAGGAGCCUGUAAAUGAAAUUGUAAUGAUCCUCACAAACGAUGUACUAAUUAUUUCUAAUGAAUAA